rnacentral:rRNA from 1 species
CCUACGGGAGGCAGCAGUGAGGAAUAUUGGUCAAUGGGCUUACGCCUGAACCAGCCAAGUCGCGUGAGGGAAGACUGCCCUAUGGGUUGUAAACCUCUUUUGUCAGGGAGCAACGCCGGCUACGUGUAGCCGGACUGAGAGUACCUGAAGAAAAAGCAUCGGCUAACUCCGUGCCAGCAGCCGCGGUAAUACGGAGGAUGCGAGCGUUAUCCGGAUUUAUUGGGUUUAAAGGGUGCGUAGGCGGAAUGCCAAGUCAGCGGUAAAAUCGCGGGGCUCAACCCGGGCCUUGCAGCGCGAACUGGCGUGCUUGAGUCCGCGGAAAGCAGGCGGAAUUCGUCGUGUAGCGGUGAAAUGCUUAGAUAUGACGAAGAACCCCGAUUGCGAAGGCAGCUUGCUGCAGCGGAACUGACGCUGAUGCUCGAAAGCGCGGGUAUCGAACAGGAUUAGAUACCCGUGUAGUC